GACGGAUGGGUCCAUUACCUGGACGUGGAAGGCGGUGAAAGGUAGAAUUCAGACAAAUAAAUCAAAGGUUCUGGUGUACAAUCCUGCCUUCGUCAAGUACGUACACGACAAAUGGAUAGAGCACCAUGCGAAAUGGCCAUCCACAGGCAGUUUGGUUGUCCUGUUUGCAGUGCACAUUUGUGAUGAGGUGGACGUGUAUGGUUUUGGAGCUGACAAACAGGGGAUCUGGACCCACUACUGGAGCACGUCGUACACCGGACAGUCCAUAGGGAUACACGACACUUCAUUUGAAGAGCUUCUGCUUGAAAAACUGCAGUCCGAGGGGAUCAUCAACAUCCAUAGAGGCAAUGCGAGUCACUAGUAAACUAGAGGUCGGAGAUCUCAUGCCUU